rnacentral:rRNA from 1 species
ACGCACGCUGGCGGCGUGCUUAACACAUGCAAGUCGAACGGAAAGGCCCUGCUUUUGUGGGGUACUCGAGUGGCGAACGGGUGAGUAACACGUGAGUAACCUGCCCUUGACUUUGGGAUAACUUCAGGAAACUGGGGCUAAUACCGGAUAGGAGCUCCUGCUGCAUGGUGGGGGUUGGAAAGUUUCGGCGGUUGGGGAUGGACUCGCGGCUUAUCAGCUUGUUGGUGGGGUAGUGGCUUACCAAGGCUUUGACGGGUAGCCGGCCUGAGAGGGUGACCGGCCACAUUGGGACUGAGAUACGGCCCAGACUCCUACGGGAGGCAGCAGUGGGGAAUAUUGCACAAUGGGCGGAAGCCUGAUGCAGCAACGCCGCGUGCGGGAUGACGGCCUUCGGGUUGUAAACCGCUUUCGCCUGUGACGAAGCGUGAGUGACGGUAAUGGGUAAAGAAGCACCGGCUAACUACGUG